rnacentral:rRNA from 1 species
UACGUAGGGUGCGAGCGUUGUCCGGAAUUAUUGGGCGUAAAGGGCUCGUAGGCGGUCUGUCACGUCGGGAGUGAAAACUCAGGGCUUAACCCUGAGCCUGCUUCCGAUACGGGCAGACUAGAGGUAUGCAGGGGAGAACGGAAUUCCUGGUGUAGCGGUGAAAUGCGCAGAUAUCAGGGGGAACACCGGUGGCGAAGGCGGUUCUCUGGGCAUUACCUGACGCUGAGGAGCGAAAGUGUGGGGAGCGAACAGG